GUGUCAGCAGCCGCGGUAAUACGUAGGGGGCAAGCGUUGUCCGGAAUCAUUGGGCGUAAAGAGCGUGUAGGUGGCUCGGUAAGUCCGCUGUGAAAGUCCAGGGCUCAACCCUGGAAAGCCGGUGGAAACUGUCGAGCUCGAGUCCGGAAGAGGCGAGUGGAAUUCCUGGUGUAGCGGUGAAAUGCGCAGAUAUCAGGAGGAACACCAAUGGCGAAGGCAGCUCGCUGGGACGGUACUGACACUGAGACGCGAAAGCGUGGGGAGCAAACAGGAUUAGAUACCCCUGUAGUCC
rnacentral:rRNA from 1 species